rnacentral:lncRNA from 1 species
CUCUAGGGAACCCGGCCAGCGGGCUGAUGUCCCACGGGCUCCACAGAGUCCUCCAUCAUUUGCAACCACUCUGACGCAAACAUGCUGCCAAACUGAAAUUGAGAACAUAGAAAACUUGACAGGACGAUAGGGAAAGAAGGGGAGGAGGGUACAUUAAAGAAGAUUGGAAAAGAACAAAGAAAAGUAGAGAUCAGUGUGGAAGGGCAACAUUUCUCAACCAUUAUCAGCACUACCAGCCUUGCAAGACAAGAUUCCCAGGGCCUUGUUCUGUCUUAACACUAUAAUACAAAACUCGAGAGCCAAUCUCUUACUCCACUGAGAAUCAAUUUGUUUAUGUCACUCAGGUAUGAUAUUGAGAAAAAUAUUGAAUUGCUUUUAGUGAACAAAUACUAGUUUGUGAGUUCAAAGCUUAGUUUUGAUUAGGCUCAUGAGUAAGUUGAUCUGUGAGACUAUCCAGGAUGUGCUGCAUUGUGAAAAUGUGUUUCCAGUUUUCAUCCAGGCAGCCCUCUUUCCUGCCUUCUCCCUGCUCAUCCAGACCACAAUUACACUUGCUAUUUGGAAGACUCUUCCUUUGAAAGCAUUUAGAAGUAUAAAUAAUGCUUGGCCUGCUUGACUCAGUCUUCGUGAUUCAAGAUGAGAGUCUGUCUGAGGCGUGCUUCUCUCAUUGCUGCCAGAGGCCCUUAGUGGUGCUGCUGUGUUUCAGUGGACAACUUUGGUAUCUU